CAGCAGUGGGGAAUUUUGGACAAUGGGCGCAAGCCUGAUCCAGCCAUGCCGCGUGAGUGAAGAAGGCCUUCGGGUUGUAAAGCUCUUUCAGCCGGAAAAAAAUCGCUUCACCUAAUACGUGGAGUGGAUGAUGGUACCGGAAGAAGAAGCACCGGCUAACUACGUGCCAGCAGCCGCGGUAAUACGUAGGGUGCGAGCGUUAAUCGGAAUUACUGGGCGUAAAGCGUGCGCAGGCGGUUUUGUAAGACAGGCGUGAAAUCCCCGGGCUUAACCUGGGAACUGCGUUUGUGACUGCAAGGCUAGAGUGUGGCAGAGGGGGGUAGAAUUCCGCGUGUAGCAGUGAAAUGCGUAGAUAUGCGGAGGAAUACCGAUGGCGAAGGCAGCCCCCUGGGUCAACACUGACGCUCAUGCACGAAAGCGUGGGGAGCAAACAGGAUUAGAUACCCUGGUAGUCCACGCCCUAAACGAUGUCAACUAGGUGUUGGGGAAGAGAUUCCUUAGUACCGCAGCUAACGCGUGAAGUUGACCGCCUGGGGAGUACGGCCGCAAGGUUGAAACUCAA
rnacentral:rRNA from 1 species